GGCGACGAUGCAGGAGAAAAAGCUCGCCUCUGUCUGCCCAGCGCCGCCGGCUGAACUACGCGCCGAGGGCAGCAAAGAAAGGGCAGCGGGUGGCAGUUAAGGGGCAGUCCUUCUCCGCCAGCCGCCGUCGCCUUCUCCGCAAUGGCGGGAGGCGGGGACAGCGCUCGGGUAGAGAAGGAGGAAAGACAAGCUCUUCCUUUCGCGGAGGGAGGCCCUCCCGCUCCCUUAGCCUCCGGUGCUGCGCCUCUCCUGCUUACCGUCGUCACAAUGACAUCAUAAAGAACAGAUGGAUUGUAAAAGUGAAAUGUAUCGGGAAAGACUAAAAGAGUGCAUGAUGAGCCCUGAGAAGAUGAACAACAUCUGGUACAGGAAUGGGCACAGCUGAUGUAUCAGAUGAAGCCGCUGAAAAGCACUCCUGACUACCAUCACCAGGAAACAUCCAGGAUCACUGUUGGAUCCAGUACCACUCCAAAGCUGCACACCAGGUUCUUAAGGGGGAGGGCAAUUCCAUCCCAAAGAGGCUAAACACCUGAUCCUGGAUCAAGCUCUUCUCAUAGACACAGGCUGGGUGAGAGAGUCUGAAGAGGUGUUGAAGAGGGGAGCAUCACUAGAAUAGAGUGCUUCCAGGCACCUCUUUGUCCCAGAGGCUCAUGUGAAGAAGCACAGUCUCAUCCAGAUGUUUACCUUUCGGUGAAGGACAGAGGUGGACAACCACUUGUGGCCCUCUGGAUACUUUUUGUAAAGGAUGGCUCCCACAAUCCCUGACUAUUGGCCAUGUUGACUGGGUCUGAUGGGGGUUGGAGUCCAACAACAUCUGGUGGGCCACAGGUGAGUCAUCCCAGAUGUAGGGUUCAUAAUUUGGUACUGAAAGCUGUCUGCCUGGCAACAUGCACCUCAUGUAGAGCUGGAAGAAGUUUUCUCCACUUUUCCUGGUUCAUUCCCUUCCCAACUCCUAGUUUUUAGCUCAUGCCACAAAAUAUCCCCCAGCCAGAAAGGACCAUCUUCCUUAUCACAGCUACAACAUGUUUUGCAAGCUUAACAAAUCUGUGGGCUCAUAUAAAAGGACAUGUAUGUGUGGCUGAUAGAAAGAGAAGUGUGGCAGUGGCACAAACAUGUUCAAUAUGGCUAUUAAACACGUAAAGCUCUGAUAUGAAAUGAUUUUGUACCAAACAUAGAUAGCAGAGGCUGGGGUUUCACCGAGAUCUUUUUUACAGCAGCUGCAGGAAAUUUUUACAGCAGUUUAUAACAGGAUAACAUUUUUUCUCUUUGAAAUAUCUAAGCAGGAAAAAAGAAGUUAGUGAGUAAACAUGAGCUGGAAAUUAGAGACAAUACCAAAUAAAUGUCAUGUUUCAUUACUCAUAUUUUAGUAGCGAUUCCCUUGUGAUAAAUUUACAGAUUAGUUGUGAAAUACUGUGUCUCAUUUGCGGCAAGUGGUGAUUUCAUAGCCCAUAACAUUGUCUCCCCUUCUUGUAAUACAGCAGAGAAUCAGAGUCACUUCACAAAAGGUAUCAUGCUGGGAAUUUUGCUUUCAUGCCCUGCUGCCAAGCAUCCCAGAGCCAUCUGGCUGGACACUUGUUAAAAACAAUGCGUGAUCCAGCAGGGCUGUUGUGCAGGUUUGCACCUAAAAAUCUUAAGUGUGACUGCAGCAAACAAAUCUUUCAAACACAUCAGGAGCCAUGUUUGACUGCUGUUCCCUACUGAGUGAAAGCAUGGUAGCAAGCUCAAGUCUGCUUCUGCACAAUGUGUGAGAAAGCAUUCAAUCAGCGGAUCAUUCAGCUUUGUAAUACUGUGAGCACAGCUGGCAUAUUUGGUAUAGCAUCUGGGAAUUGAGGUGGCUCGAGUGCAAUCUGAGAAUAUAUGUAUGUUCUUUCCAUCUUCAUCCUCUGUCCACAUUGUUAGUGCUCUGUGUUAACAAAAUAUACAGGCCAGAGGUAGGGAACGUUUUUCAGUCUGAGGGCCACAUUACAUUGAGGGAACGCUGUUGGGGGCCAUAUUCCAGCUGUGAGUGGGGCCACACACACUCAUAUACACUUAGUCACACACCCCAAACACACUCCCACUGUAUAGACAAAAGAUAUGUUUUAUUAUUCAUAACCUGCUAGGAAAUGAAGAAGCAUCAUAGAUCACUCUCCUGUCAGAUCCACUUACAUGCUGCAGACCUAACCUUAUAGCAUCCUGACUGUAGCUUUUCCUCCUUUUUUCUUUGACUACUCCCACACAUAGUCAUAGCCAGGAAAGCAAAUGAUGCUGGCUGAAGCCAAGCACACCAAGGCACUCGAUCAAAAAAUGCCACUAUAAUUUAACCCAAGAAGCUCACUGAGUAACUAGAUAGAUAUUGAGCAUACUUGUCUCUAAUUGAGUAUUGGUGAAUUUGACAUUAAAAGCUGUGAAGCACCAGCUCUAAUUCUUUAAAAACUGCCUGAAGGCUAUGAGGUCUGAAGACAUAUUAGCAACAUGAUCAAAGAAACACAUUGUGGGCAAGCAAAUUGAAUGUAAUCCAGCCACAGCAAAACACUUUUAAGUCCCAUUCGUUCCUGCGGAAGAAUUAAGCAUUCACAUAAAUCCCAUUGAAAACAAUAGCACUUAAACAGCUUAACCAUGGCUGGACUGGGUCCAUUGUAUUUAACACAAUAGAAAAAAAGAAGUGCAAGGGAGAAUUAUUAGUUUCAAGAAAAGCUACUGGGUAAGUGUGUGGAUAGUGUCAUUACAUAGAUUAGCAACGAGGUGGCACUGGACCUAGUGAUAUCUGGGUAGAGUCAGAAGUUUCCUGUUGCUGUUAAGUUUUUGGUAUAGAGAGAUAAUAUGGUUCUUGUUUAGCUUCCUAGCUGCUGUGUCUUGUAAGCCUUCCAUGACUGACUUAUAGAGCGUAUAUUAAUAAAAAGUUGUAUUUCACACUUAAUUCAUUGGAAGCUGGGAGGCACAGCCCAAUUCUCUAAUUAAAAUUUGAAAUUAAAAGUGUGUUUUAAUUUUUGGCCUCUUUUCCUGGGGCCAUCUAGUAUCAAAAACAUUCACUGUCCACCUGAGCCAGGAUCAGAGCAGACUGGUCUUCUCCAGUUGUGUCCUCUUCUUGCCUGUCAAAAAGGAGCCAUUUAUGUCAUAUAGAUGAAGGGGGGGGGAAUGGGCGUCUCUAUGCCCACAAGAAUAAUAUAGUGAAUGGUAUGAAGAAAGUGAACAGGUCUCCCUCUCUCAUAACCCCAGAGACAUCCAGUAAAGGGGAUUAGCAGGAGAUUCAGGACAGACAAAAGGAAGCACUUCACAUAGUGCCAAAAUAAUUUAGGAAAUGUGCUGCAAUCAUAAAUAUGUCAACUCAGAACUAAAUCCCAUUGAAUUCAGUGGGGCUUACUCAAAAGUAUAUGGGAUUAGGAUUGUAGCCUUAGAUGUCUUUAAAAAGGAGAUUCGACGAAUUCAUGGAGCAUUGAUCUAAAGGGGUCCUCAAACCUUUUGGGCCCAUGGGAACAUUUGGAAAUCAGAAAAUGCUGUCAAGCAGCAGAAAACACCAAUUUCAUAGAGGAAAAAAUUGGCAAUACUCAGAAGCCCCCCUCACAUACAUACACCCACACAAACAAACAGACAAGGCAUAUCCCUCCAAAAAAAAAGUCACAGACAAAAAGCAGGAAACACCUCACCCCAAACAGACAAGCUCCUUUCAAACACACACACGCACACAUUUGAAUUUAAAAUAAAAAAUAGGGGGAGAGGGCCUUGGUAGGUGCCAAGGGGAGUACCUGAGAAUGCCCUGGUGCCUACAGGCACCACAUUGGGGACUCCAGGUUUACCAGUAGCUAUUUGUCAUGAUAACCUCACAUGAAACCUCCAUCUUCAGAGGCCAUGUGUCUUUCCUAGCCCUACCCAGGAAUGUCAGGAAUUGAACCCAGGACCUUCUGCAUGCAAAGCAUGUGCUCUACCACCACUGAACUACAGAAUUAGCAAGGAAGAGCCAUGUGUACCAGUGUGAUACAUUAUAUGUGGGGUCCAGAAAUUUGAAUUAAUUCAAAAUCCUGGUGCAAGAUUGCUAGUGGGAAUGGGCAGCACAAGCAUAUUACUCUAUUGGCUCUCACUUCAUUUCUAGGCCCAGUUCAAAGAGGGUGUUUUUUUAACCUUGGGACCUUUAUUGUUGAUUUGUUUUAUUACAUGUA